GGGAAUCAAAUAAAAAACACAGGAGUGAAUUACUUAUGUGACGUACUGAAGGAUUCACGCUGUAAACUGGAGAGAUUGAGUCUUUAUGGCUGUGGCAUUACAGAUGUUUCUUCUUUAACUCAGUCUUUGACAAACACAAAAGCUCUGCAGUUUCUAAAACAGCUUGAUCUGAGUGUUAAUACGAUUGGAGACUCAAAGCAGAAGCUCAUUGAUGUGCUACGAGACUCAAACUGUGAACUGAGUGUUGAUGAAGAUUCAUUGUCAAGAUUCCCUGAUAGAAUUCAGUCGCAAGAAAUACCUGAUAGAGUUCAAUCAUCAAAAGCUGAUAAAUGCUGUAUAUCAUAAUGUGAAGUGUUCUUGAGAGGAGCAGUAAACAUCAGCUGAAGAUCCACAGAAGAGCUUCACUACUGUGUCUAUGAGGAGAAAUAAAUGUGUGAUAAAUGUGUAAAUGUGAUCCAUACAGGUGAAGAGACUCAGACUUUACAAU